UGGACCAAUGAUGAUGGCUGGUGUCGUAUGAAUCAUGGUUGAUGAAUACAUCUCGAACUCUGAGGUCCAA
ensembl:snoRNA